rnacentral:rRNA from 1 species
GGGUCAGUGGCGGACGGGUGAGUAACACGCAGGUAACCUACCCUUAAGAGGGGGACAACUGAGGGAAACCUUAGCUAAUACCCCAUAAUGCCACGAACUGGGAUGUUAGUGGUAAAAGCCUGAUGAAAAUCGGGGCACUGAAGGAUGGGCCUGCGGCCUAUCAGGUAGUUGGUGGGGUAAUAGCCUACCAAGCCUAAGACGGGUAGCCGGGCUGAGAGGUUGGACGGCCACACUGGAACUGAGAUACGGUCCAGACUCCUACGGGAGGCAGCAGUGAGGAAUAUUGCGCAAUGGGGGAAACCCUGACGCAGCGACGCCGCGUGGAGGAUGAAGGCCUUCGGGUUGUAAACUCCUUUUCUCAUGGAAAACAAUGAUGGUACAUGAGGAAUAAGCCACGGCUAACUCUGUGCCAGCAGCCGCGGUAAGACAGAGGUGGCGAGCGUUGUUCGGAAUUACUGGGCUUAAAGGGCGAGUAGGCGGUGAGCGCGAGUCUGAGGUGGAAUCCUAAGGCUUAACCAUAGAAUUGCCUCAGAAACUGUUUCGCUUGAGUCAGUGAGGGGAGGGCGGAAUUCCUGGUGUAGCGGUGAAAUGCGUAGAUAUCAAGAGGAAGGCCGGUAGCGAAGGCGGCCCUCUGGCACUGAACUGACGCUGAGGCGCGAAAGCGUGGGUAGCAAACAGGAUUAGAUACCCUGGUAGUCCACGCCCUAAACGGUGGGCAUUANGUGUAGGGCUCGUAAGGGUUCUGUGCCGAAGGGAAACCAUUAAAUGCCCCGCCUGGGGAAUACGGCCGCAAGGUUGAAACUCAAAGGAGUUGACGGGGGCCCGCACAAGCGGUGGAGCAUGUGGUUUAAUUCGACGCUACGCGAAGAACCUUACCUGGGUUUGACAUGUUAGUAGUAAAAACCUGAAAAGGGGCUGACCCUGAGGUAACUCAGGGAGCUAACACAGGUGCUGCAUGGCUGUCGUCAGCUCGUGCCGUGAGGUGUUGGGUUAAGUCCCGCAACGAGCGCAACCCUUAUCCUCUGUUGGUCGUAAACGAUCUCUCUGGGGAAACUGCCGGCGAUGAGCUGGAGGAAGGUGGGGAUGACGUCAAGUCAGCAUGGCCCUUAUGUCCAGGGCGACACACGUGCUACAAUGGCUGCUACAGAGGGAUGCAAUACCGUGAGGUGGAGCCAAUCCUUAAAAGCAGUCUCAGUGGGGAUCGGAGUCUGCAAUUCGACUCCGUGAACGCGGAAUCGCUAGUAAUCAUGGAUCAGCCAUGCCAUGGUGAAUACGUUCCCGGGCCUUGUACACACCGCCCGUCACACCACGAAAGCCUGUUGUACCCGAAGCUGGGGAGUUAACCCCUGAG